UUGAGAAAGCUUAUUUUGUCUAGCUUAUUUGUCGGGCUUAUUUUUAAGCCUAACUUCUUGAAUACCGAGAGCUUUUGAGUGAAGUCAAACUUGAUUCCUUACCAAUAAAUGGCUACACUGUUUGGUGGGUAGUCUGCGGUAUAAAUUCAAGGUGAUGGCAUUCGUGUUACGCUUAAGUCAAGAUCUACUCUACUAUGGGAUAAAUUUUUCGUAGAAUCUACUAGAGCUAUGUGUUGCAGUGUCAUGCUGAUGUGACGUGACACUACUGGUGGCUGGGGUUAACUAGGGACACAUCUUUUCCAUUUUCCCAUCCAAUCUGCGAAACAACUUUGAUUGUUUGUUAUAACUACACCAACAUUCCCUUCGUAACCCAACAAUACAAAACUAACCAUUGUAAACCCGAAAGACAACCAGCCAUCUCUCUGUUUUCAUUUGGUUUUUGCUUAGUAUCUUCCUGUG